rnacentral:rRNA from 1 species
AAUAGAUACCCUGGUAGUCCACGCCGUAAACGAUGAGUGCUAAGUGUUAGGAGGGUUUCCGCCCUUUAGGUGCUGAAGUUAACGCAUUAAGCACUCCGCCUGGGGAGUACGGCCGCAAGGCUGAAACUCAAAGGAAUUGACGGGGGCCCGCACAAGCGGUGGAGCAUGUGGUUUAAUUCGAAGCAACGCGAAGAACCUUACCAGGUCUUGACAUCCUCUGACAACCCUAGAGAUAGGGCUUCUCCUUCGGGAGCAGAGUGACAGGUGGUGCAUGGUUGUCGUCAGCUCGUGUCGUGAGAUGUUGGGUUAAGUCCCGCAACGAGCGCAACCCUUGAUCUUAGUUGCCAUCAUUCAGUUGGGCACUCUAAGGUGACUGCCGGUGACAAACCGGAGGAAGGUGGGGAUGACGUCAAAUCAUCAUGCCCCUUAUGACCUGGGCUACACACGUGCUACAAUGGACGGUACAAAGAGCUGCAAGACCGCGAGGUGGAGCUAAUCUCAUAAAACCGUUCUCAGUUCGGAUUGUAGG